ACCAAGUUCCUGUGACGUAGCCUUCCCAUGGUGGCGAUCUCGGCCACGAAUUCCCUCAUUCCUUGCCGCGAAUCGUGUGAGAUCUUCUUCACUGCUAUUUCAGCAUUCGAGGUAAUAGAACUAGAAGAAGAAGAAGAAGGAUGUAAUGUUCCUUUGUAAACCUUUCCGAAUCCUCCUGCUCCCAAAAUCUGAUUGAAUCCUUUGGUUGCCUUGUGGAGAUCUCUGUAGGAGAAUCUCUGUGGACCGUACUGUUCUUCCCAAUCUUCGUGGAGUUCUUCGUAUCUCUUCCUUGUGAAGUAGACGGUAAGUGCAAUUGAUGUGAUUAGUAGAAUUGUGAUCACCACUGGAAGUAGAAUCUUCAAGUUUGCUGAUGAUCUGUUUCCUGAGUUUCUCUCUGGUGGAAGUGAUGGCAGGUUGGAGAUGUCGAGAUCUCGAGCCUGGCUUCCAGUUAAAUCCAAGCUCCAUCCGAGAAUGUAGUGGUGGCUAGCUACUGAGCCUGUGGAUGAUGAGAAACCAGCGUACAUUCGAUCCUGUACGUCU
rnacentral:lncRNA from 1 species